UACAGAGGUCCCGAGCGUUGUUCGGAUUCAUUGGGCGUAAAGGGUGCGUAGGCGGCGGGGCAAGUCUGAUGUGAAAUCCCGGGGCUCAACCCCGGAACUGCAUUGGAUACUGCCUUGCUCGAGUACUGGAGAGGGAACUGGAAUUUACGGUGUAGCAGUGAAAUGCGUAGAGAUCGUAAGGAAGGCCAGUGGCGAAGGCGAGUUCCUGGACAGUUACUGACGCUGAGGCACGAAGGCCAGGGGAACAAACGGG
rnacentral:rRNA from 1 species